GACAGAGCAGCCACGGUAAUACGUAGGUGGCAAGCGUUGUCCGGAAUUAUUGGGCGUAAAGCGCGCGCAGGCGGAUAGGUCAGUCCGUCUUAAAAGUUCGGGGCUUAACCCCGUGAUGGGAUGGAAACUGCCAAUCUAGAGUAUCGGAGAGGAAAGUGGAAUUCCUAGUGUAGCGGUGAAAUGCGUAGAUAUUAGGAAGAACACCAGUGGCGAAGGCGACUUUCUGGACGAAAACUGACGCUGAGGCGCGAAAGCCAGGGGAGCGAACGGGAUUAGAUACCCCGGUAGUCCCUGUCUCUUAUACAC
rnacentral:rRNA from 1 species